rnacentral:lncRNA from 1 species
AGGAAAUGUCCUUGGGGAGAAAGCUCAUCUGUAGGCCAACCUAGAAGGUUGGGCCAUCCUGGAAAUAGCAUAAUACCCAAUUUUGAUGGUAACACAUUGGACCUUGUAAAAGAUAGAUAAAAUGAAUUUCUGGGCUACCUUCCCAGUUUUCUCCUUCCAGCUCAGAAAGCAAUCACUUACUAAUAUCAUAUGAAGAGAGAGAGAGGGAGAGAGAGAGAAAAACCUUUCUGCAAUUUACAAAAUUACAGAUGGAAUGACAGGGACAGGAUUUAUUCCCCACUGGAAGCAACUGGAAAACUGGAAAAAAAUAUACAAAACAGCAGUUCUCAAGACAUUGUGUGCCGGCAACAAAGGACAGUGAUGCUGGAGAGAUGAGAAAUAAGCAAGAACUCUUGUCAAUUGCCUUACGGACAGACCUAUAAGGCAAGAAACUGAUAUCUGUGAUCGAGAGCCAGUGAGCACCUGGGGCUUGUCACUGGCCAUGUGAGUGAGCUUGGAAGCAGAUACUCUCCCAGUUAAGCUUGGAAAUGAUUGCAGCCCCAACCCUGAUGGCUGACUUGUGAGAGACCUCCUUGAUUCACAGGCACCCAGUUCAUCUGCACCUGGAUUGCUGACCCAUGGAAAUGGCGAAGACACCUGCCCCCCUAUGCCCACCCCCCUCCAUCUCCUCUACCAAAAUGUCUGCACAACUUGUUUUUAUCACAGUACACAAAUGGAGGAAAAAGGGAUGCUUUAUGAACCAAAACUAGGCUGUGAUUAAAUUUCCAUCAAAUUCUUCCAUUUAUUCUGAACCUCUUAAGGUGGGG